rnacentral:lncRNA from 1 species
AACAACACACAACAUUCCAGGAAUGUACUACCAAAGUUCUAUCAAUAUUUGAAUGUCCUGGACAUUUAGGGAACAUUCGGUGAACAUCUGAUUAAAUUAUUCCUGGAAUGUUACCAUAAGACAUUCUGUGAACAUACUACCAAUGUUCCUAUAUGUUCAUUUUCAAAUUCACGGCGCAUGUAUUUGUGCAUGGUGCUUAGAGAGGGCAUCACGUGACUAAAAACGACCAAUGACCUCACUUCGGCGCUUCGGCCAUCUUGGCAUGCAUCUUGGCCUUGGCCACCUUGCCGUGCGUGAUCGUUGUUUGUUUUUAUUUGUGCUUUUUAAGAAUAUUUUUUUAAUUCGGAUACUUUUAUAAUAACAACUUUAAUAGUAUUAUUAACAUAGUGCAUAAAAUCAGUUGGAGUAGCAGAAGCAAUGUAGAUAAAAAAUCUGCAGGAUACCGUUUCAAAGGUUAGUAUGCAAAUAUGUAAACAAAGGCAUGCCCCUAUUUCAGAAAAUAUCCAUUUAUUAUUUUAAUAAUUGCGAAUAAGCCACAAACUUGCUUAUUCCUAACUAAAAUAGUAAAUAGAGAUAAUAACAAACGGAUUAUUUGUAACAUUAAUUUUUUUUUGCGUUUUUGCUAAUGUAUGCCUUUAUAAACAGGAUGGUAGACCACACACUAUAAUAGUACCAACUAAUGAAUACACAGUAUGAAUAGUAUAGUCGGUUCGCUAAACUUAAGGCUUGUUUACACGGGUAGAGUUUUGAGGAGAGUAGAGUAGCGAGGAGAGUAGACUCUACUCACUACUCUACCAAAAAUGGCUUGAUCCCAUUCAAACGAGGGGAGUACAAGUAUAGUGCUGAUGCUAGUAUUUUUGUAUUUUUAAACACUCUUGAUUAUAAGUGCACCUUAAAUUCUUAAUUUUUUGCUUGAGCUCGUUUACUCCAAAGCCCCCUUUGCCAUUCUUUCGACGAUUUCAUCCUCCGCAGCUUGCCUCAUACUUUUAUUUCUGUAUUGUACACUAACUAAAUUCCAUAAACAGUGGUAUUCGCCAUACAGCUCUACAAGUUCUAAAAAUUCAUCUUCGGUGAACUUAAUUUUCACUAGUUACACAAAACACAAUUCCAGCCGGAAUGACAGUGACUCUAUGUACUCUCCUACCAUGGUACAAUAAACUCCCCUACCAUGGUGCAAUAAACACUGUAUUUAUUAUAUCAUGCUCUCCUACCUACUCUACUCUACCAGAAUUGAGCGCGUUCCAUGGGUAGAGUGCGCAGGCGAGUGGACAUUUUGGCGGUGGUGGUGGUAGUAGAGUAGAGUUACUUUGCCACAUGUUGCUAGUAACUCUACUUUACCACCUACUAUACACUCUACUUGCUACUCCUCUGUGCCGAGGGUUUCUACGAAUAGAGUUAGGCCGAUGCCACAUUAUGCGUUUUGACCGGAUGCGUUUCCGCCGCAUCCGUUGAAAACGCAUAGUGUGACAGAUCGGUCCGGUUGCGUUGGAAACGGAUGCAUUUUGAGUCAUCGGUACGCGCUUACAAACUGCAAUAGACUAAACGCAUAGUGUGACAGGUCGGUCCGGUUGCGUUGGAAACGGAUGCGUUUUCACCGCAUCCGGUCAAAACGCAUAAUGUGGCAUCGGCCUUACUCUACUCUAUCAAGUACUUGCAUCAUUACUCUACCCGUGUAAACAAGUCUUUAGUCUCAGACACAACUGGCUAGUGAUUUUAGUAAAUAAUUUUGACAAUUUGGUAAAAUUGGCAAAAGAAUAAUAACUAAAUAUUAGUAAUUUUGGCAAAAUUGGCCAAAAACAAAAAAAUUACCUACUUAAAUCACUAGCCAGUUGUGUCUAGGGAAACGACUAUACUAAUAAACAAUUUCUAAGCUGCUUUUUAUAAUAUUUUGUGAGUUCAUUAAUCAUAUUUUUUAUUUAAAACUAAAAUUUGUUAAUAAUGCUCAGUAAUGCAUAUAUUUUGUAUUUUUAGCUUUCCAGAAGAUCCUGCGAAGAAGGCAUGAAGUAUUGAUCAGAUUUGUUAAUAGAGCAGUAUGUUCAAAACAUUUUUUAGAAAAAGAUAUUGACAGAACUUCACUUUCAACUGUUCGUUUGAGAGACCGUGCUGUUCCAAUAGCUUAUAUCACACAGAAUCAGCUGAGAGAAGUGGUCUACAAAAAACCAGGAAGGAAAUGGAAUAUGUGGCUAUGAAAGGCAAAAGAAAGGUUUACAAAGCAAAUGUGACACAUUUUUUUAUAGGAAUAUCAGUAAAUUACAUUAAAAAAAUGUAUGAAAAAAUUUUUUGCAAUAAAAAUGUUUAUAUUUA